GGGGACUUGUUCUCUAGGUCCAGGAUCUUCCUAAUGCAUCGCCUCAGCCAUGAACAACGCGGAGUUCUUUAAUACCCGUGAGCAGCAGCCCAGGCCCCUUGAAGAGUGCAGACUCCCACCUGGCCUGGGCGUCUGGCUCCGCAGCAGAACACGAAGUUUGCAUUCCCCAAGGGGCGGCCAGGGGGCGGACCAGGGAAAGGUAGUCCUCUGCAUUUUGCCGUGUGCUGGAAUGGUGUAGAGUGACGAUGAGGUGGCGGUAAGGGGUUGAGCGCUCACGCGAACGCCUAAGUGACCAGAACGACUGGUGUGAAGCCGUGAUCUGACUCUGUGGAGCCUGGGACUGGUUUCAGCGAGAGCCUCUGUACUGCUCUGUAGUCUCUGCUAGGACAUGGACGAAAAGGGACGCAGCCGGGAGAGCGACUGCCCCAGGUGGGGGCUGGGGGGACGUAAGGGAAGAAUAAUAAUUAUCUGGCUGUGUUUUUGUUUAAAAAAAAAAAAAAACUGGUGUAAAUCUCCAUAGACUUCCUAUCCUCGCUCCCUUCACCCACCCACGCGCUCCCAAGAUGCAAUAAGCAAAUAAAAAGACUAAUAACGCUGUAAAAAAAAAAAAAAAAAA
rnacentral:lncRNA from 1 species